CCUGCCCCUAGAGGCAUUGCAGGUAUGACUGCUGUGACACAUGUGUGUCAGUAGGUGGGAGAGGGGAUAGAGGCUAUGUCUCUGUUCAGUGUUUUGACCUGUAAACACUGACCUAUGAAUGAUUAGUAGCCAAAAAUU